AUUGAACGCUGGCGGCAGGCCUAACACAUGCAAGUCGAGCGGAUGAAGGGAGCUUGCUCCUGGAUUCAGCGGCGGACGGGUGAGUAAUGCCUAGGAAUCUGCCUGGUAGUGGGGGAUAACGUCCGGAAACGGGCGCUAAUACCGCAUACGUCCUGAGGGAGAAAGUGGGGGAUCUUCGGACCUCACGCUAUCAGAUGAGCCUAGGUCGGAUUAGCUAGUUGGUGGGGUAAAGGCCUACCAAGGCGACGAUCCGUAACUGGACUGAGAGGAUGAUCAGUCACACUGGAACUGAGACACGGUCCAGACUCCUACGGGAGGCAGCAGUGGGGAAUAUUGGACAAUGGGCGAAAGCCUGAUCCAGCCAUGCCGCGUGUGUGAAGAAGGUCUACGGAUUGUAAAGCACUUUAAGUUGGGAGGAAGGGCAGUAAGUUAAUACCUUGCUGUUUUGACGUUACCAACAGAAUAAGCACCGGCUAACUUCGUG
rnacentral:rRNA from 1 species